GGAAACAAUAUCUUUUCCAUUAGAGGCUGGCUAUUCAGCUUUUAAAUGUCAACUCUGAAUUUUUACUUCACCGAAUAAAUUGCAGGGGGGAGUAUGUAAGGCAGUGAAGGUAGAAGAGGAGAAGGGCUCUGAUCAUGCACCGUGCGUCGCCGUCCGCUGACUGCCUCUCCCUCACUCCCACGGACGAGUUCCAGGAAGGUGGGCAUGCUCUCUGUGCCCCACUGUCAGCCAGCCCCCAGACCUGUGGCUGGGACACGGGAGACCCCCAAAAGGCAUUUGAUGAACGAGGAAAUGUGUGCCCAGGAACGCCCUUUGUAAACUAUGAUGCGCUGGAGUGAUGUCAUAGUCACCCCCAGUCUCAGAAGUUCUCCCUUCAUAGUGAUGAGAUGGCUGCCCCAAAUCUAGCCUGACAUCCUCCUGGCUCAAGGGACGCCUGGCUGGCUCAGUUGGUAGAGCACGUGACUCUUGAUCUCAGGGUGGUGAGUUCAAGCCCCACGUUGGGCCUAGAGCUUACAGAAGAAGGAGGACAAGAAGGAGGAGAAGGAGCAGAAGAAGAGGAGGAGGAGGAGGAAGAAAGAUAAGAAGGAGGAGAAGGAAAAGGAGAAGAAGAGGAGGAGGAAGAUGGAGAAGAAAAAGAAGGAGGAGGGGAAGAAGAAGAUGAAGAAGAAGGAGAAGGAGAAGAAGAAACAGAGCAAGCCCUUCCCAGUGCCCCAGGUGGGAGUUCACGACAUUUUCAAGAUUAAAAAGGCAUCAAAGUAAUCCUGAAUGUGAGUGUGGAAAACCUCGGGAAACCAUCCGGCUGGGAUUAGCCAGAUGAUUUCAGGUUUCCUCACAAGGCAAACACUAUGGAGCAGCCAAAAAUGCUGUCAGAGCAGAACGAAUGGCACAGAGAGAUGCUAAGGAUGUACGGGUGAAUACAAAAAUAGAAGAGGUUGAAAAUGGCGUGGAUGACGUAAUUCUGUCUUGAGAA